rnacentral:sRNA from 1 species
UAGCUCAGUUGGUAGAGCAGUUGACUUUUAAUCAAUUGGUCGCAGGUUCGAAUCCUGCACGACCCACCAAUCGUUCUGGUGGAACGCGAUAGUAAAACGUGAAGGAUAACGUUGCGUCAGCAACGGCCCGUAGGGCUAGGCAAAGCCGAGUCAUCCUGCACGACCCACCG